rnacentral:rRNA from 1 species
UACGAAGGGGGCUAGCGUUGUUCGGAAUUACUGGGCGUAAAGGGCGUGUAGGCGGUGUGUCAAGUCAGGCGUGAAAGCCCCGGGCUCAACCUGGGAACCGCGCUUGAGACUGGCACGCUCGAGUUCGGGAGAGGAUGGUGGAAUUCCCAGUGUAGAGGUGAAAUUCGUAGAUAUUGGGAAGAACACCGAUGGCGAAGGCAGCCAUCUGGACCGACACUGACGCUGAGGCGCGAAAGCUAGGGGAGCGAACGGG